rnacentral:tRNA from 1 species
CCGUUUUUGGCGCGGAAUUCCGCGAGCGCGGCGUCGUAGGCGUUGUUCAGGGUCCGGCCGGAGAACUCACCCGUAGUGCCGUCUUUGAAAGCGAUCC